rnacentral:lncRNA from 1 species
UCCCUAGCUACAUAAUCACAUUAACAUUUAAUGUGCCCAAGUUCAGCUAAAAUAUGUUUCCUCUCUUCUGCAUAUCCUUCCUGAAGCAAAAAUAAAAUAAAAUAAAAUGCCAAUGGAACUCAGGAAUUCCAUGUGUGUCCUGUGACGAGUUCCCCACAGAAAAACAUCCUCCAGACCCCUUUUCCACACAGACUGCUCCUCGAGGUAAACACAGCUUGUACAUGUGGGCAAACAUCUUUUAUCAUUUUACACACUUUAUAGGUCAGCCAGUUUGAGUUGGAGACACAGGAGAGUUCCCAGAGAAAUUCAUUACUGCCACUCAUUCUAGUUUUCUGUCUCAAUAUAAUUAAGCUUGGCUAAUUGUCUAUCAUGAUUAAAAUCAUGCCAAUAACAACCUUGUUCUCAAGUUUGGCUCUGCUCCAAACUUGUUAAUCGCUCUUGUUUUCCAGGAGGUCAUUCUGUACCUUGCUUCAGCUGUGAAAUUUCUUAUAAAUAACGUGCUUAGAUAAUAAGAUCAUCCUUGGGUGACCAGGAACCGUCAACAUGGAAGACACAAGCUGUGGCUAAUAUAGGGGAUGGCUGAAUCACAACUGGAGUAAUUCUCAACAGCCUGGAACACCAGGCUCACUUUAAUACAGUGCCAUUUCAGUAGGGGGAAAAAACGUAGUCCUGGAUAUAGGUUCAAAGGAUAAAUUCCAUAGAGUUAGGAAGGCAGGAGUUCACGAAAGAGAUUGGAUUAUCUAAAGUGGGCCCAAAGCUUGAUGUGAGGCAAUAUGGCUUCUAAAAAUACAAGAUUUGCCAGGAUUAAUUGAAAUUCAGCAACUCACCUAACCCAGGAAAUAUCAAUUAUAAGGUAUAGUAUUAUUUUAUGUACCACUAGGAAAAAAAGACACUACCACUUAAAAGUUAUGACAAUACUUUCCUGUCAUUUAGAAUUUAUAUAUACUUAGUGAAAAGUCUCUUGGAUGCAUUUGCAUCCUAUAUCACACUUCUCUGGUUCCCUGCUUUUCUGAGUACAAAUAACUUUUCAUUUCAAAGCUGAAUCAUACUAUAAUCUUUUUAAAGAUCCUUUAACUGUCAAUCCAACCGAGCACAUGUAGCAACAGCAAUGUGCAUAACUCAGCGGAAGCAAUGACUGUAUGAGCCCUGACCAAGUGCAUGAGUAGAGGUAAUGAAGACUGCCUGCUGGCCAGCAGCGAUUAUAAAAUGCUGUAAUCUAGGAUGCAGUCUCAUUUCCCAGAUACUAAAAUGUGGAAUAAAUAUGUAUGUUAGGGUUUAUGUAAUAUGGUAUAGGGUCCCGAGCAAGAGAGAUGAUAAUCCUGCUCUUCUUAGCACUGGCGAGUUUCAUAUCUUCAUAAGAAUCUGAGCUCUGAGCAGCAUUUCUUGUGCAGGAUGCUUCCUGAUGUAUGUUCAGCAUCCCCUCAGUUCUCCUUGAACAGUGCAUAUGGCGCCACUUACACCAACUGUCUAGCGGAAUGGCAUCCCCUCCACCCCACUUUAGAAACUGCAUGGUCCUUGACUCAAGGGAAACGUCCUUCUUCAUUUCUGUCCCAGUAGCAACUACAGUCGGACCUGACACAGAGUAGGUGCUCUGUAUGCAAGUGAAAACAUGAAAGAAGGAAUGACUAUUGUACCAGGAUGGACUCUGGGUCACAUAAUGUUUUUCUCUAAUUAAUAAGAAUUUGGAAAAUAUUAUUAUGAUGUAGAUUAUAUUCAAGCAGUCUUAUUUAUUGAAUUUUUUAAUGUAUUGAAUUUAUUGUAUUUAUUGAAAUACAAAUAUGGCAUCAUUUAAAUUUCUUUUACAUCAACAAUGCUGGAUUGAUUGAUUUCCAACAGUUCCUCCUCUCCUCACCCCACCCCUGCACAUAUAUAUAUAUAUAUAUAUAUAUAUAUAUAUAUAUAUAUACCCCCUAUAUUCUAAUGAGGAGCCCUGAAGCCUUGAUGCCAACUGGAUCUGGAUGCAAAAUGAACUUUGUCAUUUCACUGCCUGAGGGAAUUUGAGAUUUUUUUACUCUCUUGGCCUCCCUUGUAUAGAUCUCCCUCCUGAGAUGGCUAUGAGGAAAAAAUAACACAUACACAGUACAUAUAACAGUACCCACUAUACCAUAAAUUCUCAAGAAUUUUUAGCUACAGGUUUAUAUAUAAACCUUGUAACCAUGUUACCACUUUAAAGAACUUUCACAUCCAUCAUGUCUUUUGAUUGGCACGCCAAUCUCGAGAGGAGGCUCUUCUAUUCCUAUUUUUCAAACACUAAAAUACACUCAGAAAGAAAAGGUAGUUUGCACAAAAUCACAGUGGCAGACUUGACCUUUAACCCAGUUCUUCUUAUCAAAUGAUGUUCAUUAUGAAGAAAAAAGAAUUUCUGAUCUGGAGAGAAUAUUAGAGAUAAGCUGGUCCCCAACCCUCAUUUGUCACAUAAGGAGACUGAGGAACAGAGAGAACGUGAUUUGCUUUUUGUACCACCAACUGACUGCUGGUGACAGAACUAGGAUUGGAGCCUAGAGGUCUGAAAACAUACAUUUUUCAGUAUUUUUCACCCAAUAUUGUGUCCGACUCUGAGGAGGGCAUCCUCAUAUGAGAACACUUUCUGGUAUCAUGCGAUCUGCCCUCACCCUCCUCUCCAGCCUCACUUUCUGCUGAUAGGAUCCUACUCUUACCUUCCACAUGGACCACUUUAGUCAUCCCUCAAACAUGCUCAUUCUCUGAUGAACUUGCUUUCCCUCUGUCCAGAAAGCUCCUCUCCUGAUCCUUUGUUUUCUCAAUUCAAGUCUCUGCUCAAACAUCCUCUUAAAAGAGGACUUCUCUAUCAAAAUUAGCCUCUUUAGACUCUAAGUAAAAGAAUCUAAUCCACCACUACCUAACAUUCUCAAUUUCCUUACUCUAUUUUCUUUAUAGCACUUAGCUUUCUUCAUAGCUCUUGUAUUAUGUAUUUAUUUACUUAUUUAAUAUCAUGUCUCUUUCAUGAUGAUGCAGGUCUCAUCGGAGAUAGUGACUGCAUUUGUUGUGUUCAUCGUUGUGUUACUAGCAGAAUGGUGUCUAGCACGUAGUAGGUGCUUAAUGAAAAUAUUUGUUGAAUGCCUACUACAUACCAGGCACUAAAGGACAGGUGCUGGGAAAACAAGUGUAACUCAGUAAGUCAUUCCUCUCUGCCAAAAUACAGUUUCUUGUCUAGUGUUGGACAUAGACAUUGCAUAAGUAAUUGCAGAAGUUUAUGGGGGAAGCAUGUAAUCUGCAGAGGUGAGCUAGUCUUGAGAUUCUGAGAGGACUUCCCUGAUAAGCUAAUUUUCUAUAUGCACCCUGGAUGGGUGAGAGGUUUAAACUAAGUGAAGAUGGUAGAGGAUGAGUGUUCCAAUUGAGGAAACACUGAGCAUAUGUUCUUGUGGCAGGAAGGGGUAAUGGUAGUGGGCAGAUAUCAGAGGGAUGAGGAAAGGAAGUGGGUGGAAGUCAGACUGGAUGAGACUCUUUAGGAUAUAUUAAAGAUUUUGGCCUCUAUUCUCUGGGCCAUGGGAAAGCCAUUGGAGGACUUUAAUCACAGAGGUGAUACAUUGAGUCCUGUAUUUUUAAAUGAUCAGUUUGGUGGUGGUUUGGAGAAUGAAGUGGAAGAGGGUAGGGGAAAUUAGAAUGAUUAGUCAGGAGGCCACAACAAUAGACACAGAGGGGAAGUGGCUCCUACCAAGGUGGCGACUGUGUAAGUGAAAAGAAUGGAUGGAACAGAAUUUAGAAUUGGACUUUAUAGAAAUGGCCAGGGAUCAGGAUUGAGGAAGAUGUAUCAAAGAUACCUCGCAGUCCUUUCUUUUUUCACUUGUCAAAUGGAUGAAAGGUAGUGACAAAGAGAUGGAGAAUCCUGGAAGAAGGCAAGGUCAUGAAUGCUAUUUUGGAUGUGCCAAAUUUGAGAUGCUUUUGAAGCAUCUAAGUGCAGAUAUAAAAUAACAAGAAAUGCAAAUCUGGAGCUUAGGAAAGCUCUGUCCUGGAGAUACAUCUGGGUAGUUUUAGAUGGUCUGCAAGGUUAUAGGGGUAUAAGGAGUGGAGAACAGUCUCAGAGACGUUGAUGCUUUAAGUGAUACUUUAAGAAAUUCCAUCAUUUAAUGGCCAAGUAUGGAAGGGAGGAGUGUCCACAAGGAGUGAGAAAACCAGAAUUGUGUCCCAAUGUGCCUGAGGGAGGAGGGUGUUCCAUGGAUGAGUGAUCAGCAAUGCUAAACAUGGCAGAGAGGUAAAGGAAGAUGGGUACUGAGGGGGCCCUCUGCAGUUGAUAACAAUGAGGCCACUUGAUGUUAGUAAAGGCCAUUCAAGUGGAAUGAUGCAAAAAGCAACCAGAUUAGAAGAGGCUAAAGGGAGAAUAAUGAGAUUUGUGAUGGAGAUGGUAGUAAAAGACAGAUCUUUUGAGGAGAAUAACUGUGAGGUUAGGGGAAAGAAAGAAAAUGUUAUAGUUGGUGGAGGUCUCUGGAAGGUUAUUUAUUUAUUGAUUAAAGACUGAAGGGACUCAGGCAUAUUUAAAUGUUGAUGGAAAGAAAUGCCAUUUUAAAGGACAUGUUUCAAAGCCAAUGCAAAGGAAUUGGACUUGGCAAAGGAACAAGGGCCAUUCUCCUCUGUUGUAACAGGAGGGAAAGAGAGUAGGAGAUGCAGAUGUAGGUGGAUUUGUAUAUUUAGUGGAAGGAAGGUAAGGAGCUUCUCAUUUUCCAGAUUUACUUUGCACGUAAAGUAGGAAGUGGUCAUUUGCUGAGAGUCAUAGGUGAUGGAGGGAGGUUGAGAAAGGGUUGAGGGUUUGAAGAGAGUGGAAAAAGCUGGAAAUUGUUGGAGUCUGGGAUAUUGUGAUUUAUAUGAAAUAUGUAUUUGUCCAUUUAGAUGACCAAAAUGUAUUUCUCAUAUGUAUUAGGUCGUUGUCCACAGUGCCUGGCUCACAGUUCCCAAAACCCUUGGAGUUUCCUAAAUGUCUUUUGUUAUAUUAAUGAGGUGACUUUUGGAAAGCACCUAAGGAUUGGGGCUGGUUGCCAACGGAGUCAAGUGAUUAGGCAGUUGGAACUUCUAGUCCCCACCUCCUACCUCUGGGAGGUUGAAACAAUGAUUUAAUCAAUCAUGCCUACACAAUGAAGCCUCCAUUAAACCCCAAAAGGACCAAGUUCAGAGAAUUCCUGGGUUGGUAAAUAUGUGGAGAUAUCAGGAGAAUGACGAGCCUAGAGAGGGCAAGGCAGCUCUACCUCCUUCCCACAGAAAUUGUCCUUUGUUUCUCUUCCAUUCGGCUGUUCCUGUAUUAUAUCCUUUUAUGAUAAACCAGAUAUCUAGUUCAUAAAGUGUUUCUCUGAGUUCUGUGAGCUGCUCUAGCAAAUUAAUCGACCUGGAUAAGGAAGCCAUUGGAACCUCUGAUUUACAGAAAUGGCAUCUGAAAUCCAAGAAGCAGGUUGUGGGAAUCUCCAAUUUAUAUCCAGUGAGUCAGAAGCACAGGUACCAAUCUGGGCUUCAAGUGACAUCUGAAGUGGGGCAUGGAGGGAGGCUUGUAGGACUGAGCCCUUAACCUGUGAUAUCUGAUGUUAUCUCUGGAUAGAUAGUGUCAGAAUUGAGUUGACUCCUCAGACCCUGAUAGAAUCUAACAUAUAAUGAUACAAUAAAUGAAACAGACUGUAGGAUGUAGGUCCUUUUGAGCUUAGCAAUCAUAUCAGUCUCUGGUGUAGGC